GAUGAACGCUGGCGGCGUGCCUAAUACAUGCAAGUCGAGCGAACAGACGAGGAGCUUGCUCCUUUGACGUUAGCGGCGGACGGGUGAGUAACACGUAGGUAACCUACCUAUAAGACUGGGAUAACUUCGGGAAACCGGAGCUAAUACCGGAGAAUAUUUCGAACCGCAUGGUUCGAUAGUGAAAGAUGGCUUUGCUAUCACUUAUAGAUGGACCUGCGCCGUAUUAGCUAGUUGGUAAGGUAACGGCUUACCAAGGCAACGAUACGUAGCCGACCUGAGAGGGUGAUAGGCCACACUGGAACUGAGACACGGUCCAGACUCCUACGGGAGGCAGCAGUAGGGAAUCUUCCGCAAUGGGCGAAAGCCUGACGGAGCAACGCCGCGUGAGUGAUGAAGGUCUUCGGAUCGUAAAACUCUGUUAUUAGGGAAGAACAAACGUGUAAGUAACUGUGCACGUCUUGACGGUACCUAAUCAGAAAGCCACGGCUAACUACGUG
rnacentral:rRNA from 1 species